rnacentral:rRNA from 1 species
UACGUAGGGUGCGAGCGUUGUCCGGAAUUAUUGGGCGUAAAGGGUGCGUAGGUGGUCUGAUAAGUUAUCAGUGGCAAAUCGAGGCUCAACCUCGUGGAAACUGGUAAUACUGUCCGGCUUGAGUGCAGGAGAGGUUAAUGGAACUCUAUGUGGAGCGGUAAAAUGCACAGAUAUAUAGAAGAACAUCAAUAACGGCGAAGGCAGUUAACCAUUCUGUUACUGACACUGAGGCACGAAAGCGUGGGGAGCAAAACGG